rnacentral:rRNA from 1 species
UACGUAGGGUGCAAGCGUUGUCCGGAAUUAUUGGGCGUAAAGAGCUCGUAGGCGGUUUGUCGCGUCUGCUGUGAAAGCCCGAGGCUCAACCUCGGGCCUGCAGUGGGUACGGGCAGACUAGAGUGCGGUAGGGGAGAUUGGAAUUCCUGGUGUAGCGGUGGAAUGCGCAGAUAUCAGGAGGAACACCAAUGGCGAAGGCAGAUCUCUGGGCUGUAACUGACGCUGAGGAGCGAAAGCAUGGGGAGCGAACAGG